UGUGUGUCGUGGCUAUCAAUUAUGUGUGUGCUGUGCAGUCCCUAAUGAGCACAUUAGACCGGGAGUGUGUCAGCGUCUGUCUGUGACGAGCUGCAGACUAGUUUACAGUGAGUGGCAGCAGCGGGCGUGUGGGAGACAAACACACACACACAGUCUCAGACAUGCAAACAGAAACCAUGGUUGUGGCGCUUCCCUGUAGCCUCGUCUGUUAUCCCGGUGCCUUAAAGGAGCUCGGUCUCAUGGAUCACAAAGCUGCUGAAGGAAUCUGGCGCGGCGACCACCUGACUUCGGAUUUUAUCUGCUAUCGACAACGCUACCAAGAAAGCAAGGUGUAUGAGAAGGUGUGUCAGAAGCCUGCUCUGUGAUUGGCCGGACGCUGCGGUGGAGUGACCUCCCUCUGCACUGAGCUGUCUACUCAGCCAGAUUGGAGUCUUCGGCAGGCCGUUUCUGGCCUCGGGCCUCAUGUUUGACAGCCCUGUUUUAGAAGAAAAACCACAGAAGUGAUUCUGCAGUCUGCAGUCUGCUGGUCGUCCC